AGAUUGAACGCUGGCGGCAUGCCUUACACAUGCAAGUCGAACGGCAGCACGGGGGCAACCCUGGUGGCGAGUGGCGAACGGGUGAGUAAUGCAUCGGAACGUGCCCAGUAGUGGGGGAUAACUAGUCGAAAGAUUAGCUAAUACCGCAUACGACCUAUGGGUGAAAGCGGGGGAUUCGCAAGAACCUCGCGCUAUCGGAGCGGCCGAUGUCUGAUUAGCUAGUUGGCGGGGUAAAGCCCACCAAGGCUUCGAUCAGUAGCUGGUCUGAGA
rnacentral:rRNA from 1 species